rnacentral:lncRNA from 1 species
UCACCGGUUCACUCCACAUGACCAUCCAGACGGCCGUCCUCAUCGAGACACUCACCGCUCUCGGCGCCGAAGUCCGCUGGUGCUCCUGCAACAUCUUCUCAACCCAAGACCACGCGGCCGCCGCCAUCGCACGUGACUCCGCCUCCGUCUUUGCCUGGAAGGGUGAGACCCUCCAGGAGUACUGGUGGUGCACGGAGAAAGCCCUGGACUGGGGUCCCGGCGGCGGCCCAGAUCUCAUCGUCGAUGACGGUGGUGACGCCACGUUGUUGAUCCACGAGGGAGUCAAAGCUGAGGAGAUCUACGAGAAGACCGGGAAGUUGCCCGACCCGGCCUCCAC